UUUAAGAUAUUGUCAAAACUUUAUAUGCUUAUUUUUCAUUUGCAUUAUCUUACUUACAAGAUUUUAAUUUUAAGAUAUCUUUUCAUAGCAGGUAGAAGCAAUGAGGAGCAAAAACGAAAAAGAGGUCCAACCUAUAUGUGUAGUAUUUGGGGAUAUCAUGCUACCCAACAUGGUGGAGAACGACUUGUUGUUAAUUUUAAUAAAUAUGGUCAACCUAUUGGGCAAAAUAAAUCAUUAUUUGUUGAGUUCUUAGGAACUAUUGCUCGAAAUAGGAAACAUGCACCAAUUGAUAUAAGAAGUUGGGAUAAAAUGCCGAAGCCUUUAAAAAAAAUAUGCUAGAAGUUGUUAAGGUAUUUAUCUUCAUAAUAUUUAUACUUAUUUUGUUUGAUUUAAGUUGCAUGCACAAAAUAGCAAAUUUUUUUGGAUAUAACAAAUAAAUAUUUUAUUUUUUAGGAGAAGUUUGAGAUUCCCCGUGCUUGUGAUGUAUGGGUUCUCCAAUCAAUUAGGAAGAAAUGGAGAAAUUGGAAAGCAGACGUUAAAUCUAGAUAUUAUGAUCCAAAAAUGUCUACAUAAUUAUAACUAUGUAAUGUGCCAAAAAGAAUACUCAAAGAUCAAUGGAAAAAUCUUUUAACCUAUUGGAAUUCAGAAGAAUCAAAGUGUAUAAGUGAACGAAAUAAAAAAAGUAGGUCGAAAAAGAGUUUGAUGCACAUCACUGGAAAAAGGAGUUUCGGUCAAGUGCGUGAAGAUCAGGAGAAAAGCAUAGGUCACUCACCAACAAGAGUUGAAAUGUUUGAAAGGUGUUACACAAAAGAAGGAAUUACUAAUAGUAUUGAGGCUUGUGAAGCUUUGGUAAGUACUUAUAAUAAACUACUUCAUAAAUUAAUUAUAAAGUAUACAAACAUUUAUGUGAAAUAGUUAAUAUUCAUUAUAUUUAAGAAAAAAUGAAGAAAAUAAGAAGUCAAAUAUCUCAAACAGAAAAUUUUGGAAAAGAUGAUAUUUUCUCAAAAGUUCUUGGAAAUGACAAGGUCGGAAGAGUUCGCAUGUAUGUAUUUAGUGUUACUCCUUAUGUUGCAUGGGGAGAAAUCCCAAAUCGACGUAGUGCUUAUCGAUUAAUAGAAGGUUACAAAGAAGCUUUCGAAAAAAAUGGAAAAGCAAGUUCAAGAACAGGGUGAGGUAAUUGCUAAAAUGAAGUUGGAUAUGCAAAGUUCACAGCAAGCUACUAAUACCACCCCGUUAAGAGCUACUCAAUAUUCUCAAAAUGGUGAUGUACAUUCUUUCAAUAACAGUACUCUUAUUCAAGUUGGAACUAAAGUGGCAGUCAAAAGUGUUCUUGAUUCU